rnacentral:lncRNA from 1 species
AUGGAGGUCAUGUACUUGGAGGCAUGUGAUGGCCACCCUUUGUGUGGGAUCCAGCAGCUGUGUCCCAUUAUAGAGACCUACAACUGCUCUUUAGAUGGAAAAACACAACCAGCCCUGUCAGAUGGGUGGACGCCCUGGAUCCCAGGGCCCUUCUGUAGGACAGUUCAGAGGAGCCUAUGCAUGCUGGGGCCUAGAAAAAGACUCCUGUGUAGAUACAUUUGGGGACAGUCCAAUGACUUGUUUACUUCUACGCUCAGUGCUCUGAGCAUCCUGUGGAAGCACCCUACACUGCAGUCUGGGGCUUCAAAAACAUGUCCCGAGGCUAUGCAAUGCUGUUUGCUCAUGCCUCACUACACCAUGCCAGCAACUCCACAAUUGCAAUUGAGUAGUCUGGAACUGCUCCGCAUGAAGACAUUUAGCUGUGUGAAGGCCUUCCAUGCCCUGGGAGGGUCCAAUGCUGGUGGAAGUGUGUUCCCACCCCUGUUGAAUUCUGCAAUGAGAACAAAUUGACCUGGUGAUGAUGAGUUAUCUAUUUCUUUUAAAACAAAGAGAAUACAAAUCAAUUGCUCUUGAGCUUUAAUUGUUUUAUUGAGCAGUAUAAAUAAUAUCAUGUAUCUAAAUUAAAUACAGUUGUUAUGGUUGGGUUUCUCAUCGAAAAUUUAAUAACAAAAAGAAGGUGGGAGGGAGAGGUAAAGAAAUCCCAUGUUUUGACAUGUGUUGCUGCAGCAACAACUGCAUUACAUACCAUUUGUUUCCCUUCUGUGACCAUGAGAUGCAAUUGAACUUGGUUCUCCAUAUCCGGACAUCAGCUUUGCUGUAUGAUCUGCUUUCAUGCUCAACACUUGAGAGAACGCUCCAUGAAGCAGGGCACACAUAGCACAGCUUUGUUUGCAGAGAUCUCCCUUCUUUCUGGCAAUUCCUGGUUGUUAGGUGUCACCACAGGAGGCAGCAGCUGAAUCACACAAGCCAGCAGUAAGGCUGGGAGCAGGAGGACGGGAAAUGUAUGGCUCAACAGCUGGAGCAUAGCACCCAGACCACUGGAACUGAGUUUUCAUCUUGUUUUAAUCUACCUGAGCCACUGCAUACACUGUCGCUUCUCUCGUUUAGGAACUGCCUUCUCUUUGCAGUCUGUUUAUCUCCCAUUAUGUGGGAGGCACUUGAAGCACCUCUAGCUGUGCAGAAGAAAGAGCCCCAGGCUCACAUGAGCCAUUUCUCACAAGCAGGGCUGGUUUGGAGCAACCUGUCAGGUGUGCACAGUAUAGCCAUGUGCUACGAAAAGAUACCAGCUGAAUGUCCUGAGCAGUGGUGGCAUAGCAGCGUCCUGGUACUACUGGCUUUUUCACUGUACACAUGUGCCCUUCUUGCAGUCCUGCAGCACGGCUGCUGGUGACACAGAAGUGGGAGGAGUGGCUGAUCCACUACAAGGCUGUACUGCCAUUCAGGUGCUGCAGACCUGGACAGGCUGCAGAGCUGGGCAAAGAGAAACUUCAUGAAGCUCAGCAGAGGCAAA